UACGUAGGGACCAAGCGUUGUUCGGAUUUACUGGGCGUAAAGGGCGCGUAGGCGGCGCGGUAAGUCACUUGUGAAAUCUCUGAGCUUAACUCAGAACGGCCAAGUGAUACUGCAGUGCUAGAGUGCGGAAGAGGCGAGUGGAAUUCCUGGUGUAGCGGUGAAAUGCGCAGAUAUCAGGAGGAACACCGAUUGCGAAGGCAGCUCGCUGGGACGUAACCGACGCUGAGACGCGAAAGCGUGGGGAGCAAACAGG
rnacentral:rRNA from 1 species